ACAACAACAUCAUCGACAGCGAAGACCUCGAAGCAGCAGUCGAAGACGAUCUCAAGCCUCCUCCCUUCAAAUUCCAUCGCAUAUGGCCCGAAUCUGACGAAAUUUGAUUCCUCCAAGACCUCCUCGAAUGCUCCGCAGAUGGAUUUGUCUUUCCUCAAGACCUCCCUCUCUUCUACGAUCGCUUCCCACAGUCUAUGCCUCAACCCUACACCAGAUCCCAGCUUUCUGAGAAGCUUCGUCGUCUUCGUAAGAAAUUUCGCAUUAUCUCUACUCGAAUUUCAGGUGGGCUUGAUCCUUCGCUUCUUGCUCCACACGAUCGUGCGCUCUUCGAUCUUUCCAAUCAGUUAUGGCAUCCUUCAUAUGCCUCUUCAUCUCCCUUUCAGUCUAAUAAGCGGAAGCCCUCUAAGGUUAGUGUUAGGGUGAGUUUCUCUCCUACCCUUCUGCUUGUCUUCCUCCCCUCCUCCUCCACCACCAGUUCAACCUAGCAUCAACGACGCUGAUAUUACUGAGGAAGAUACUGAAUUGAAUUUAGAGAACAAUCUCGGCAGUGGACAUGAAGAGGAGCCGUAUUUGCCAAUCGGCUACGACGGUGA